CCCCCGUCUCCCAAUAGCCGGUCGCCGGAUCCGGCCUCGACGAGUUUGGAGGAUGCGGAUCCAGCGACCGCCGGCGUCUGCGGCCACCUCCCCCGCCUCCUGACCGUGAGCCGCCGCCGCCUGCCGCCGGAUCCGACCUCAACAAAUUUGGGGGACGUGGAUCCGGCAGCAGCCGCCUCCCCCGCCGACCGACCGUCGACCGCCGGCGUCCUCGGCCACCUCCCCCGCCUCCUGACCGCGAGCCGCCGGAUCCGACCUCAACAAAUUUGGAGGACACGGAUCUGGCGGCAGCCGCCUCCCCCGCCGACCAACCGCCGACCGCCAGCGUUCGCAGCCACCUCCCUCGCCUCCUGACCGCCAGCCGGCGCCGCCUGCCGCCUCCCCCGCCGACCAACGGCCAGAUCUGGUGGACGUCCGCCGCCUC
rnacentral:lncRNA from 1 species